rnacentral:lncRNA from 1 species
CUGGACGAACUUGGCGCCCCGGCCUUCGGGCGGUUAUUUUUGGGCGCGGCUGUGCCCGCGGCCUAUUUUUGGCACACAGAGGGGCCUCGCAAAGUCUCGCGCCAUUUCGAGUGUGGCGGACGAAGUCGGCCAGCCCCACCCCCAAAGGCUAUAGCCCACCCGUUUUUGUGGCCUUUUUCCGCUGGACGAACUUGGCGCCCCGGCCUUCGGGCGGUUAUUUUUGGGCGCAACUGUGCCCGUACCCUAUUUUUGGCACACGGAGGCACCUCAUAGAGUCUCGCGCCAUUCCGAGUCCGGGGGACAAAGUUGGCCAGCCC